AAAGAAGAGAGGAAGUACGCUUCUUCUGCUCCACAGGACAAGACUGCAAUUAGACACCAUCAUGAGUACAAGUCAAUGAAACUGAAGCCAGGAGAUUAUAUGACUUGCCAAACACUUCUCAGUCUACCAGUAUCCAGAGCUCCAGAGGUAUUUGGCAGUAGAAGAAUCCUUCAUCUCAUCAGAGUCCAAAUAGCAGCUGGAUCCUCAGUUUGCUCCACUCAACUGAAUAAACAACUUGCAUCUAAAGCACCACAAGUACACCAAUACUGAGGCCAGAGCUCCCUACCAAUGCAGCUUCUGCUGCAGAAAAGCAUGCUCCUCCAUCUGUCUGGAGGUCCUAUUUUUUUGCUACAGGGCAAGAGAAAUGACUCAGCUUCUUAUGAUUAACGGCAAGCUUCCAAGAACCAGAGAAAGAUUGAGUCAAAUUGCAAAACUUAGGACACUACUAGAAUUGUUUCUUCUCACUCUCUACUUCAGAAGAAUAAUGUAGCAUGAAGAGAGAAUUCAGAAGUCACAAAAGUGAGCUUUCUGGGACAGACAGCUUUUGGAAAGCUCUUCUACUUGACUCUCUUGCUGUGAAG